rnacentral:tRNA from 1 species
GGGGAUAUAGCUCAGAGGUAGAGCGCUUGCCUGUUAAGCAAAGGGUCGGGAUUUCGAAAUUCUCUAUCCCCG